GCCGGGUGUGGUGAUGCAUGCCUGUAAUCUCAGCUACUACUUGGGAGGCUGAAGCAGGAGAAUCACCUGAACCCGGGAGGUGGAGGUUGCGGUGAGCUGAGAUCCCGCCACUGCACUCCAGCCUGGGCAAAAAGAGCGAAACUCCUUGUUGGAGUGCACUCCCAGACUGGAGUGCAGUGGCGUGAUCUCGGCUUACCACAACCUCCGCUUCCUGGGUUCAAGCGAUUCUCCUGCCUCAG
ensembl:misc_RNA Metazoa_SRP Metazoan signal recognition particle RNA